rnacentral:rRNA from 1 species
GACGUAGGGCGCGAGCGUUGUCCGGAUUUAUUGGGCGCAAAGAGCUCGUAGGCGGUGUGUCGCGUCGGCCGUGAAAACCUGCAGCUUAACUGUGGGCUUGCGGUCGAUACGGGCAUCACUGGAGUUCGGCAGGGGAGACUGGAAUUCCUGGUGUAGCGGUGAAAUGCGCAGAUAUCAGGAGGAACACCGGUGGCGAAGGCGGGUCUC